GAAAGCAUGGGGAGCAAACAGGAUUAGAUACCAUGGUAGUCCAUGCCGUAAACGAUGUCUACUAGCCGUUGGGGCCUUUGAGGCUUUAGUGGCGCAGCUAACGCGAUAAGUAGACCGCCUGGGGAGUACGGUCGCAAGACUAAAACUCAAAUGAAUUGACGGGGGCCCGCACAAGCGGUGGAGCAUGUGGUUUAAUUCGAUGCAACGCGAAGAACCUUACCUGGUCUUGACAUAGUAAGAACUUUCCAGAGAUGGAUUGGUGCCUUCGGGAACUUACAUACAGGUGCUGCAUGGCUGUCGUCAGCUCGUGUCGUGAGAUGUUGGGUUAAGUCCCGCAACGAGCGCAACCCUUUUCCUUAUUUGCCAGCGGGUUAAGCCGGGAACUUUAAGGAUACUGCCAGUGACAAACUGGAGGAAGGCGGGGACGACGUCAAGUCAUCAUGGCCCUUACGACCAGGGCUACACACGUGCUACAAUGGUCGGUACAAAGGGUUGCUACCUAGCGAUAGGAUGCUAAUCUCAAAAAGCCGA
rnacentral:rRNA from 1 species